UACGUAGGGUGCAAGCGUUGUCCGGAAUUAUUGGGCGUAAAGAGCUCGUAGGCGGUCUGUCGCGUCUGCUGUGAAAACUCAGGGCUUAACCCUGAGCUUGCAGUGGGUACGGGCAGACUAGAGUGCGGUAGGGGAGACUGGAAUUCCUGGUGUAGCGGUGAAAUGCGCAGAUAUCAGGAGGAACACCGGUGGCGAAGGCGGCUACCUGGACCGGUUCUGACGCUGAUGCGCGAAAGCGUGGGUAGCAAACAGG
rnacentral:rRNA from 1 species